GGAAGUGAAAGUCGUAACAAGGUUUCCGUAGGUGAACCUGCGGAAGGAUCAUUAAAGAGUUUAGGGUCUUCGGGCUCGACCUCCAACCCUUUGUUUAAUUACCAUGUUGCUUUGGCGGACCCGUCUAACGACCGCCAGAAGUUGGGGGAAUCCCUCCAACCUUUUGGCCCGUGUCUGUCAAUGGCCCUAUUCAAAUUCUUGAUAAAUUGUGAUGUCUGAGUUAUAAACUUAAUCGUUAAAACUUUCAACAACGGAUCUCUUGGUUCUG
rnacentral:misc_RNA from 1 species